GUGCUUGCUUCGGCAGCACAUAUACUAAAAUUGGAACGAUACAGAGAAGAUUAGCAUGGCCCCUGCGCAAGGGUGACAUACUUGCAUGAAAAUUUCUGGGAACUUUG
ensembl:snRNA U6 U6 spliceosomal RNA